GAUGAACGCUGGCGGCGUGCUUAACACAUGCAAGUCGAACGGAAAGGCUCCUGCUUGCUGGGGUACUCGAGUGGCGAACGGGUGAGUAACACGUGGGUGAUCUGCCCUGCACUUUGGGAUAACCCUGGGAAACUGGGGCUAAUACCGGAUAGGACGAUGUGUUGGAUGGUAUUGUGUGAAGAGUUUCGGUGGGGGGUGAGGUCGCGGCCUAUCGGCUUGUUGGUGGGGUAAUGGUGUACCAAGGCGUCGACGGGUAGCCGGCCUGAGAGGGUGGACGGCCACAUUGGGACUGAGAUACGGCCCAGACUCCUACGGGAGGCAGCAGUGGGGAAUAUUGCACAAUGGGCGCAAGCCUGAUGCAGCGACGCCGCGUGGGGGAUGACGGCCUUCGGGUUGUAAACUCCUUUCGCUAGGGACGAAGCGCAAGUGACGGUACCUGGAGAAGAAGCACCGGCUAACUACGUG
rnacentral:rRNA from 1 species